UUCUUAGCUACCUUUGCCACUCUUUGACUC
rnacentral:piRNA from 1 species